CUGGACUGUCGGCAGGCGUACAUUGCAGACUGGCAGAGUAGGACUAUAGAGGGAGUCUGGCCAUCGGUGACACCAUGUAACCCUUGCAUCAACCUUGGACGGGCCACCUCUUCUUGCUAUGCCAGAAAAAAGAUGAGCUCCAAGAGAGAAAGGACUUUGUCUAUCUUGAUCACUGUGGUGUCCCUGCCAGUGAGAACAGCACCCGGCUUAAAAGUAUGUCACUGACUUGCUGAGUCAUAUUUGGCAGGAUCUCUCUUUUCUCCCUGUUUUUCCAUCUGGAUAAUAUGGUUUAUAAAGAGCUCUAAGGCAUUUUGUUUCCAAAAAUGUAUAAGCAUACAAAAAUAAUGGUGUUGUUUACCAAAAGGUUUUUAUCUGUACAUAGCUCAAU